rnacentral:rRNA from 1 species
UACGAAGGGGGCUAGCCUUGCUCGGAAUCACUGGGCGUAAAGGGUGCGUAGGCGGGUCUUUAAGUCAGGGGUGAAAUCCUGGAGCUCAACUCCAGAACUGCCUUUGAUACUGAAGAUCUUGAGUUCGGGAGAGGUGAGUGGAACUGCGAGUGUAGAGGUGAAAUUCGUAGAUAUUCGCAAGAACACCAGUGGCGAAGGCGGCUCACUGGCCCGAUACUGACGCUGAGGCACGAAAGCGUGGGGAGCAAACAGG